rnacentral:lncRNA from 1 species
UUCUAUUUCGAGAUCCAUCGUUUCAACCAAUGAAUUUUCUUCUAACGCUACGUCAUUUUUUAACAUCACAGGUAUUCUUUCGAUUACCUUAGCCAAUAAGACUUUUAGAAAACCAGUUCAAUGGCAAUGCAUUUCCGAAUUUGAAACCACCGCUUUCUAAGUUGAUAGCUGGCACAGCAAUCGCCGUCUUAAAAGUUUAUAUUUUUUUAAAUAAAAGGAAAGAACAUUCCUUUUUAAAACAAAGAACUUUAUCUUAAAAUGAAGCCAAGAUGUGCUCUUAAUAUCAAAAAUCAGUUAGAUCACCCAAAAAACACCACAAGUGUAAGGAAAUGCGAAGGGCUAAAAUUAGUAAAAACUGCAUUCUCCAAACUACAGAUGAAAAAAUGUGAAGUCAUUACAUUAAGCCAAGCUUCAAUUACUAUUACAAAUACAUUCUCAUUCGAAUUAUGGUGUCAAAAAAUUGUUAAAACUGUAUUAUUUGUAAACAAUAAGCAUUUUUCAUAAUAUUUUACAGAUAC